GAGUUUGAUUCUGGCUCAGGAUGAACGCUGGCGGCGUGCCUAACACAUGCAAGUCGAGCGAGAAAUCCAUAAUCGAAUCUUCGGACAAGAGAGUGGAUGGAAAGCGGCGGACGGGUGAGUAACGCGUAGGUAACCUGCCCUGUACAGAGGGAUAGCCACCGGAAACGGUGAUUAAUACCUCAUAAUACCGAAAGUUCACAUGGACAGUCGGUCAAAGAUUUAUCAGUACAGGAUGGACCUGCGUCUGAUUAGUUAGUCGGUGAGGUAACGGCUCACCAAGGCGACGAUCAGCAGCCGACCUGAGAGGGUGAUCGGCCACAUUGGAACUGAGACACGGUCCAAACUCCUACGGGAGGCAGCAGUGGGGAAUAUUGCACAAUGGGGGAAAUCCCUGAUGCAGCAANCGCCGCGUGAAUGAAGAAGGCCUUUGGGUUGUAAAAUUCUGUUCUGAGGGAAGAAGAAAGUGACGUNCUNGGGAG
rnacentral:rRNA from 1 species